rnacentral:lncRNA from 7 species
GGAUAAGUGGAUGUAUAAUUAUUUUGGGAUGUGAGGAGAUGAGGAGUGUCAUUUUUAUUGCAUUGGCUCAUAACUUAUAGUAACUAUUUUUUAGGACAAAUGUACUUCAACAAUUACAUGUCAAUGCAGAAAAUACAGUUGCCAGUUUGGACCUCUAAGUUUCGAGUUCGAACCUCUAAGUUCCGACAAGUCGACAUUUGGCUCCUAUAGUCCUGCCUACCACCCAACCAUGUUUUUGCACAUUAGUUAAUCAGCACACGAUGGUUGCAUGUGUGAUCCCGAUGCCUCACAAGCCUAUAUGACAUAUAUAGACUAUUCUAACCAAGUGAUGACUACGUUAUUUGGAAAGAGCAGACAACAUCAAACACAUACUUGUUGCACCCAUAUGGUUGGCA